GGAGGCGUGCCGGAGCGGUUGAUCGGGCCGGUCUUGAAAACCGGUGACGGGGCGACUCGUCCGGGGGUUCGAAUCCCUCCGCCUCCG
rnacentral:tRNA from 1 species